ACCAAUAAAAAAGUAUAGACGGAACAUUGCGCUCCUACAAGUGAGGCACGUAAUAUGAAGACGAUUCGGAAAUAUGAAGACGGCUGUGCGGUAGUCUGCAGCGAGUAAGCGAGCGCGCAUGACGUAGUAAACAAUACCUAAUAAUUGCGAAAUUAUGCCGUCCUGUGUUGUAAAGUGUUGCAAAAACAAUUCCUGUUUUAAAAAUAAAGCUUCUGGGAUAACUUUUCACAAAUUCCCAGCUGAAAAAACGUGGAAAGAAAACUGGAUUAAAACUAUACGGGACAACAGAAAUGAUGUCGAGUGGCUCCCUUCAAAAUUUAGUGUAAUUUGUUCUGCACAUUUUGAAGAAAUUGAUAUGUACAACACCAAAGGUGGCUGGUGGUGGUGGAAGACAGAAGCUAGAGCAUACAUGGUUCGCAUUAUUGUCAUUCAUUUAUCCAUUCACGUAUAAAAUGUUGUGUGUUUUCUUAAAUUAGAUUUUUUUUUCAUAAUUGUAUUUAAAAUGAAAAUAAAUACCUAACUGUCAUUAAAAGAAA